AACGGAGGCGCUCAAAGGUUCUCUCAGUACGGUCGGAAAUCGUACGUAGAGUGUAAAGGCAAAAGAGAGCUUGAUUGCAAGACAUACAGGUCGAGCAAGGAUGAAAAUCGGACUUAGUGAUCCGGUGGUUCUGCGUGGAAGGGCCAUCGCUCAACGGAUAAAAGCUACCCUGGGGAUAACAGGCUUAUCUCCCCCAAGAGUCCACAUCGACGGGGAGGUUUGGCACCUCGAUGUCGGCUCAUCACAUCCUGGGGCUGUAGUAGGUCCCAAGGGUUGGGCUGUUCGCCCAUUAAAGUGGUACGCGAGCUGGGUUCAGAACGUCGUGAGACAGUUCGGUCCCUAUCCGUCGCAGGCGUAGGAAAUUUGAGAAGACCUGUCCUUAGUACGAGAGGACCGGGAUGGACGUACCUCUGGUGUACCAGUUGUCCUGCCAAGGGCAUGGCUGGGUAGCUAUGUACGGAAUGGAUAAGCGCUGAAAGCAUCUAAGCGCGAAGCCAACUUCAAGAUAAGAUUUCCCACCGCAAGGGUAAGACC
rnacentral:rRNA from 1 species